rnacentral:rRNA from 1 species
GAACGCUGGCGGCGUGCUUAACACAUGCAAGUCGAACGCGAAAGGGACUUCGGUCCUGAGUAAAGUGGCGCACGGGUGAGUAACGCGUGGAUAAUCUACCCAAUGAUCUGGGAUAACAUUUCGAAAGGGGUGCUAAUACCGGAUAAGACCACGGAGUCCUUGGACUCUGCGGUAAAAGGUGGGGACCUUCGGGCCUACCGUCAUCGGAUGAGUCCGCGUACCAUUAGCUAGUUGGUGGGGUAAUGGCCUACCAAGGCUACGAUGGUUAGCUGGUCUGAGAGGAUGAUCAGCCACACUGGAGCUGAGACACGGUCCAGACUCCUACGGGAGGCAGCAGUGGGGAAUUUUGCGCAAUGGGGGAAACCCUGACGCAGCAACGCCGCGUGAGUGAUGAAGGCUUUCGGGUCGUAAAGCUCUGUCAGAAGGGAAGAAAUGUAGGAGUGAUAAUACCACUUUUACUUGACGGUACCUUCAAAGGAAGCACCGGCUAACUCCGUGCCAGCAGCCGCGGUAAUACGGAGGGUGCGAGCGUUGUUCGGAAUUAUUGGGCGUAAAGCGCGUGUAGGCGGUCUUUUAAGUCUGAUGUGAAAGCCCUGGGCUCAACCCAGGAAGUGCAUUGGAAACUGGAAGACUUGAAUACGGGAGAGGGUAGUGGAAUUCCUAGUGUAGGAGUGAAAUCCGUAGAUAUUAGGAGGAACACCGGUGGCGAAGGCGGCUACCUGGACCGAUAUUGACGCUGAGACGCGAAAGCGUGGGGAGCAAACAGGAUUAGAUACCCUGGUAGUCCACGCCGUAAACGAUGAGUACUAGGUGUUGCGGGUAUUGACCCCUGCAGUGCCGCAGCUAACGCAUAAGUA